CCUACGGGUGGCUGCAGUGGGGAAUAUUGGACAAUGGGCGAAAGCCUGAUCCAGCCAUGCCGCGUGUGUGAAGAAGGCCUUCGGGUUGUAAAGCACUUUCAGUGGGGAAGAAAGCCUUGGGGCUAAUACCCUCGAGGAAGGACAUCACCCACAGAAGAAGCACCGGCUAACUCCGUGCCAGCAGCCGCGGUAAUACGGAGGGUGCGAGCGUUAAUCGGAAUUACUGGGCGUAAAGCGCGCGUAGGCGGUCUGAUAAGCCGGUUGUGAAAGCCCCGGGCUCAACCUGGGAACGGCAUCCGGAACUGUCAGGCUAGAGUGCAGGAGAGGAAGGUAGAAUUCCCGGUGUAGCGGUGAAAUGCGUAGAGAUCGGGAGGAAUACCAGUGGCGAAGGCGGCCUUCUGGACUGACACUGACGCUGAGGUGCGAAAGCGUGGGUAGCAAACAGGAUUAGAUACCCCGUAGUC
rnacentral:rRNA from 1 species